UUGCCUACCGGGGCGCCGACCAGCCGCGAAAACUUUACAAUGCUGGCAACAGCGAUUAAGGGGACCUCGAGUGCCAGGUUACAAAUUCUGGCUGUUCGGUAAUGCCUAAAAAGCAUUGCAUAGCAAGGGCCGGGCAAGACCGGUUGCCAGCCGCCGCGGUAACACCGGCGGCUCGAGUGGUAACCGUUAUUAUUGGGUCUAAAGGGUCUGUAGCCGGCCGGAUAAGUCUCUUGGGAAAUCUGGCAGCUUAACUGUCAGGCUUUCAGGAGAUACUGUCUGGCUCGAGGCCGGGAGAGGUGAGAGGUACUUCAGGGGUAGGGGUGAAAUCUUGUAAUCCUUGAAGGACCACCAGUGGCGAAGGCGUCUCACCAGAACGGACCUGACGGCAAGGGACGAAAGCUAGGGGCACGAACCGGAUUAGAUACCCGAGUAGUCCUAGCCGUAAACGAUACUCGCUAGGUGUCGGCCACGGUGCGACCGUUGUCGGUGCCGUAGGGAAGCCGUGAAGCGAGCCACCUGGGAAGUACGGCCGCAAGGCUGAAACUUAAAGGAAUUGGCGGGGGAGCACCACACGGGUGGAGCUUGCGGUUUAAUGGGAAUCCACGCCGGAAA
rnacentral:rRNA from 1 species